GCGGAGGAAAAGAAACCAACCGGGAUUGCCUUAGUAACGGCGAGUGAAGCGGCAAAAGCUCAAAUUUGAAAUCUGGUACCUUCGGUGCCCGAGUUGUAAUUUGGAGAGGGCAACUUUGGGGCCGUUCCUUGUCUAUGUUCCUUGGAACAGGACGUCAUAGAGGGUGAGAAUCCCGUGUGGCGAGGAGUGCGGUUCUUUGUAAAGUGCCUUCGAAGAGUCGAGUUGUUUGGGAAUGCAGCUCUAAGUGGGUGGUAAAUUCCAUCUAAAGCUAAAUAUUGGCGAGAGACCGAUAGCGAACAAGUACAGUGAUGGAAAGAUGAAAAGAACUUUGAAAAGAGAGUGAAAAAGUACGUGAAAUUGUUGAAAGGGAAGGGCAUUUGAUCAGACAUGGUGUUUUGUGCCCUCUGCUCCUUGUGGGUAGGGGAAUCUCGCAUUUCACUGGGCCAGCAUCAGUUUUGGUGGCAGGAUAAAUCCAUAGGAAUGUAGCUUGCCUCGGUAAGUAUUAUAGCCUGUGGGAAUACUGCCAGCUGGGACUGAGGACUGCGACGUAAGUCAAGGA
rnacentral:rRNA from 1 species